UCCGAUGUGGUCUAGUGGCUAGGAUUUGCCGCUCUCACGAAUCGAAAGAUUCAGAAGUGCCGGCAAGGCCGGGGUUCAAUUCCCCGCAUCGGAA